rnacentral:lncRNA from 12 species
CGAUGAACUGCUGAUACUGAUUUAAAUUCUCAACCAUUUUCUUACUAUUGGCCAUUAACCAUCUGAAAUUCCUACCAUGAAAUACAGGGCUGAGGAGGUGCCUCGACCUUCUAAGGCUAGCAUUUGAUAUAACAAAAACACAAUCUCCAAGGUAACCUUGGUAGAAAUAAUGAUCAGAGUUUAUCGUUCGGCUGCCCUUUAACCCAUGGCGAUGAGUCACCAGAAGAGGGGACUCUCUUUAAUCAUAAAGGUGAUUCAGAAAAACUCGCAUGCAGAUAUAUUCAUUUACCAAGUUAUUAAUUAAGUGUGUGUUCAUUGCAAUCCAGAUCUGAGCCAAAUCUGGUGCUCUGCACUGGAAUGCCAACGGUCAACAAGAACGGGCAGGAAUCCUGCUCUCGUGGGGUUUGCUGUGGAGCAGGUGAGCCAGACAGGAAUCCAACAAGCAAACUCAUGUCUGAAGAAUUGCAACUGGACAGACAUCAUCUGAACGAGGGGGCCUGGACUUGCAGUAGAUGGGCCUUCAGGGAACAUGACUCUAGAGCUAACAAAGAGGGAGAAGGGGGAAGAAGGAGGAGAGGAUGGCUCGGGGGAAGAAGUUGGAGAGGAUGGCUUGAGAACAUUCCAGACAGAGGAAAGAGCAGAGACAAAGGCUUCAGAGCAGCAUGAUGGGGGCUUGUCUUAAAUUGGGCUCCUUGGAAACAGACUCUGAGACAGAGAUUGAAUCCACCACAUGAGUAUUGCCAGUCGUUUUCUCAGGCAAACACCACUCAUGGAAGCGGGUCUGGAGCUGGGAUGGCCCCUGUGAGUGCCUGGGGCCUUCUCACGGGCAAUCCUCUGUCGCAGGGGCGGGCAGAGGGCUGCGAGUUUGUAGAGUUCCUGCAGACGCUUCCUGUUCCCCGUGACGCUUUCCUGAAACAGCUUAGCUCUACAGGCAUUAACACGUGCACUCUAUGGAGGCCUCUCUAUUAUAACGCCAUAUUUUAUUUCUACAAAAAGGUCAUAAAAUACUUUAAUGAAAAACAUGCUGAAAAAAUACGUAUUGCUUGCUCGCUGUGUCUUUUUUUAAAAUUUUUUUUAAAUUUUUAUUUAUUUAUGAUAGUCACACACACACAGAGAGACAGAGGGGCAGAGACACAGGCAGAGGGAGAAGCAGGCUCCAUGCACCGGGAGCCCGACGUGGGAUUCGAUCCCGGGUCUCCAGGAUCGCGCCCUGGGCCAAAGGCAGGCGCCAAACCGCUGCGCCACCCAGGGAUCCCUUGCUGUGUCUUAAUGACGGGUUACGUGAUUCCUCGACCUCCUACCUGGUCUGCGCAGGGGACGCAGGUGUGACUUGCCAAGACAAGAUUAAGCUGCGGUCCUUUGGAAGCAAGAUUGGAGUGGCCGCGAUGGCCGCGAUGGCCACUCAGUGCCUGUGCUUUAAGGCGCUAGAAAGCCAGCUGGGCUGCGGCGUUUGUGCAAGGAGGAUCGCCAGGUCGUGGGGAGGAUGCCCCUCAGCUCUUCAGGAGGGAUCUCUACGUCCGGUCACCUGAGUGCUCCUUUGCCGGGGGUCGGUGAGCGCGACGUCCUGGGACAGGACCAGAGGAAAGCAGAGCUUUGUUUUUUGACUGUUGAUCUGAAAACAAGCCCCUGCUGGGUUAGCAGAAACAGACGGAGGUGGUACCGGUCCUGCCGAAUCCAGCGCCAGCCAGGUGACCCUGGGAAAGCUGCUCUUAAUCCCUCAGUUGCCUGUACGGCCCUCCUUAGGGUAGAGAGUCGUAAACUGGAGCAGUCCGGGAAGAGAGCAGCCUGAGCGUAGGUGAGGCGACCGAUCUGCACCAAGGACACGCGGUCUUGCGGUCACGUGAGGCGCCGUGAGGGCAGGACUGGAGCCCAGGGUUCUCUGCGUCGGAGCAGGGCAUCCUGUGUCAUUUCUAGAAGGUACUUUGUAACUGGAAGACUGUCCAGCAAAGCACCAAGAGCCCUUAGGAAGCAGCGACACCCCCAUCACAGAGAAUGUGUGAACAUUUUGGACUUUCUAGGAGAACUUUAUAGGGAAGAUGCUUAUCAUGAGGAGGAGCUUAGUUUAUUUGUAAGAUUCCUUUCCAUUCUAACAUUAUUCUAAAACUCCAAGAUCUAAAAAAAAUUAAAAAUGAAAAAAAAAUAAAAUAAAUAAAACUCAAAGAUCCA